GAGAAAAUGCCUUUUGAUUUGAGUCAUAGACAAAAGUAUGAAUCGAGUUAAGAGAGUGAAUGAUUUUAAUCAAUAUUCAAGAAUCAAGAAAAACUGCUUCCAUGAUUCGAAUCAACCCUUUUUGUGAUUCGAGUCAACUGGAUUUGUGAUUUGAAUCAGGAUCACUGAACCAAAAUCCAAAAUUUGUUGUAUGCAUUUGAUUCGAGUCAAGCAUGUAUGUGAUUUGAAUCAAAC
rnacentral:lncRNA from 1 species